rnacentral:rRNA from 1 species
CAGUAGCCGCGGUAAAACGGAGGAGGCUAGCGUUGUUCGGAAUUACUGGGCGUAAAGCGCGCGUAGGCGGCUUGGUAAGUUAGAGGUGAAAGCCUGGAGCUCAACUCCAGAAUUGCCUUUAAGACUGCCGAGCUAGCAGGUGAGAGAGGUAAGUGGAAUUCCGAGUGUAGAGGUGAAAUUCGUAGAUAUUCGGAAGAACACCAGUGGCGAAGGCGGCUUACUGGCUCAUACUGGACGCUGAGGUGCGAAAGCGUGGGGAGCAAACAGGAUUAGAUACCCGGGUAGUCCCUGUCUCUUAUAC